CUUCAACGCGUUGAAGCCUGGCGAAUCCAUAGAAGAUAGGCCGUAGGAUGGAGUUGAAGUCUGAUAGCACGCGUUUUGGGUUGUUGAUUUCGAUUAAGUUGUUUUUCUGUGUACAUUUUGUUGGGGACAGGUCAGUUCUGUUGUCUCUGUGGGUGACAUUUUCGGUGGGUGGCCGUAGCAAAGAAAACUUCGUGCUUUAAUGGAUGGCUAUGACCUUCUGUGACGAUUUGCUCAUGACAACUAAUCAGAAUGUCAUAAUGUUAUCCUAAUUUAUGACGUUUUCUAUGGGCUAGUAUGAUUUAGUGACGAAAAUAAGAUGUUCAUAACUAAGGCCACUCACAAAUCGUCAUAAAUUAUUGCAAUGCCAUAUUAGUGACGAAUGCUACUAUUUUUCCAUGACAUCUAGCAAGUGUCACAAAAUUUAUAAUAGAUUUACAUAGAUAUAUUAUGCUAAGUCUUAAUUUGAAUUUAUAUAGAAUUAAAACAAAUAAGUUGUAAAACAUGUGAAGCUAAAAUGGGAAAAAAGCAUCGAGAUUUGAACCAAGACCACACGGCUUACAUUCAAGUAACUUACCACUAAACCAAGUUUUUUUUUACUACAAGACAACUUAUAUCCAGUCUAUUAUAUAUAAAAAAUGAGUUGAUAUAUGUAAAAUAAUUAUUUUCGUGUGUUACUUUGUAAUAAUGGUGCCAAAAAAUGAAAAAGAAAAAACAUUAAACAGGCUGCCGCCGGAGAGGGAAAAAAUAUUCCCUUCUCACGCUCAACACAACCCAUUCGACCGACCCUAGCGCCGCCCCUACCUUCCCAUGGCCGGGCACCCCGGUUGGCUCCCUAGGCCGGGCACCGCUGCAGCCAGUUCAUGGCUUCCCAGGGCGCGGCGUCGCCGUCGUUGCCUAGCGGCUCCCCUGGGUCGGGCGCCGCCGCAGCCGGUUCACGGCUCCCCUGGGCAGGGCGCCGCUGCCCCCGUUGGUUCUCGGCUCCCUAGGUCGGGCGCUGCUUCAUCUCCACCAUGGCGCCAUCUUCGCUGCCGCUCCCCCCCUGACAGUCACCCCCAAGCGAUUGUGCCCCAUCCUUGAGGGUUUUUAUGAGCACCAGAGAAUCCACUCACUUCCUACCAGCUAACCCCGUGAAGAUGGAUUGGUUUGUGCCUAUUUUUUCCUUUGAUCUGUAAUGUAAUAUGCUUGCUUGUGUAAACAAUCAGACCAAAGAUCUUGGAUCUAUAAUCCUUUAGGUGAUUAUGGUAAUUUUUUAAUCUAAGAGUAUAUGUGGAUUUUCCCUUAAUAUAUGGAUGAAACCUAAAGUAAAUAAUUUUGGGGAUGCCAUGUGAACCACACUUAAAUUGGUUUGCCAUUGCCUUCUGUACAGGUUUGUGUUGCAGUGAACUAGCUAGAGACUGUUUGGUUUGUGGCCACAGUCCGCCAUGCCUCAACUUUGGCGCCGCCACAAAACAAAAGCUGUUGUUUGGUUCCUGAUACAGAUGUGGCAUGCCACAGUUUUUUCUCAAGAAGCUAGUUCAUUUUUUUCGCCACAGGUGUGGCGCCUAAAUUGGCCGCCUAAACUUCGGCGGCGCCACAGCCAUGGCGUGGCAAUCUAUGGCCUGCAACCAAACAGGCCUUAACUAUUCAAGACUAUCAGGAGGAAGAAUGCUUAAAUUUUACUUCUGAACUCUAUAGGAGGAGGAUUGAAUUAGCCUUCUAGUUUCAAGGAUUGGCUUGGCACAGACUUUGCAGUUGCCGAAGCUGUCAAUUUUGUAGUAGAAUCAGAGGUAGGGUUCAACAACUCUUUGAGAGAUAAUGGAUGACUAGCAAUGUGAGCUAGAAGACCUAAAGCUGAAGUUGCAAGGGAGAAUCAAUGGGGAGUGAUUGAAAGUUUGAAGAAGCAAGGAGAGGAAAGCAAUGCUCUUCUUCGCCGCUUGUUACGCCUCAACAGGGAGUAGGUCCUUGACUACUUCUAGGUUCAUGAUGUGGUCUAUUUGUUUUGCUACAUGUGGUUGGAUAGUUGGCUAUGAGUCCAUUAUCUUAGCUGUUCAGUGAACCUGUUAUGGAGUGACUUGUCUUUUUUGUGAUGUCGGGUUGUAACAGAUAUUUUGUGAAGUGACCUGUUGUUUGUUUUGAAAUAUGUUGUUCUAAAGUGAUAUCAGCCCAAAUCAAAUAAUAAGAUUGAAAAAAUAUGUUGAAUUAUGACUAA